rnacentral:lncRNA from 1 species
UCCAGUGUGAAGUUGGAAUUCCUUCUCUACAUUAUUCCUAAAUCAUCCCUAGUGUAUCGUGUAAUUCAGAUGUGUAUCAGGCAAUCCUUUGAGUAAAUGAGAACAGGAAAGGGCAGAGGAAAAGUAGUGUAGGUCAUUGAGGGAGGGUACAAAGUUGUUCUCCACACAUUCAGAGACUCAGCCUCUUGCCAUCCUUUGAUGCCACCAUCUUCAACACGUGACCUCCAAGUUUUCUCUGGAACAGGAAGAGCGAACAGAAGAUUAAAUGUGAGAGAUUUUAUGGCCAAGGGGUGGCACAUCAUCACUUCUGUCCACUUUCCCUUGUUCAGAACUCAACCACAAGAUGCCAAGCUAUUUGCUGAGGAUCUGGACAUUUAGCUGUGUGUCCAGUGAGGAAGAAAACUGGGUUUGGUGAACACAUACCAUUG